UACGAAGGGGGCGAGCGUUGUUCGGAAUUACUGGGCGUAAAGGACGCGCAGGCGGCUCAGACAGUCAGAUGUGAAAGCCCCGGGCUUAACCUGGGAACUGCAUUUGAUACUACUGAGCUUGAGUACGGGAGAGGAUAGUGGAAUUCCCAGUGUAGAGGUGAAAUUCGUAGAUAUUGGGAAGAACACCGGUGGCGAAGGCGGCUAUCUGGACCGUAACUGACGCUGAGGCGCGAAAGCGUGGGGAGCAAACAGG
rnacentral:rRNA from 1 species